rnacentral:rRNA from 1 species
AUGGCCGUUGCUCUGCAGGGUUGGGCGGCCCAGGUCUCGGGCCUCUUGGAGCGGCUGGAGGCUAUCAGUGGCAAAGUUGUGGGGAACGGUGGUGGACCUUCUUCCUUGGCGCCUUUGGGUUUGCCUCCUCCCUGGUGCGAGCAUGAGGAGCUGGCGCCCUUUGUUGUUGCCGAUGGUAAGGAUGUUAGUGAGGCAGGAAUGGCCGGGUGCUUAUCUGAGGUUCUGGCAACUAUGGCACUACCUGCAGAUGUUCUUCCUGCUGUGGAUGUAGUUCUGCAUGAGAUGGCAAUUCAAGGUGAGGAGGAGCAAGCUAAGGUUGCUGAGAUAGUCACGUCGAGCAAUGAUAUGGAGCAUAUUGAGGUGGCCUUGCCUAAUGGUUUGGUUGGCGAGGUGCCUCCCUCUGUCUCCUCUUCGGUGACGCUUGCUUCCGGGGGCACUACCAAUACGAUGUCUUCUUGGUCCGAGGAGCCACUUGGUGAUAUUGGUGCGCCAUCAACCACCUUGUUGGAUGAGUUCAUAAGCGGUUUCAGUUGCGCGGCGCCGCGGUCCUUGCUCGAAGAACCGAUUCAUGUGCAGAUUGACGGGGCAUCUACUUGUUUCAAGAGGCGUAGUGGACGUUUGGAUAAGAAGAACAGGAACUGCAACAUUCCUACUGCCAAGCACGCUGAAUAUAGGUUGGCGGCGGCUUAUGGGGAACUGCCGAAGGGGAUGACAUCUAAGAAAGGCUCCGAGGAGGAUGUGCAAGAGAAUAUGAACUCUUAUCUUCGGAUGUACAAGAAAACGGUUACGCCGACGACGAUCUAG